rnacentral:rRNA from 1 species
UACGGGGGGGGGCAAGCGUUGUUCGGAAUUACUGGGCGUAAAGGGCUCGUAGGUGGCCAACUAAGUCAGACGUGAAAUCCCUCGGCUUAACCGGGGAACUGCGUCUGAUACUGGAUGGCUUGAGUUCGGGAGAGGGAUGCGGAAUUCCAGGUGUAGCGGUGAAAUGCGUAGAUAUCUGGAGGAACACCGGUGGCGAAGGCGGCAUCCUGGACCGACACUGACACUGAGGAGCGAAAGCGUGGGGAGCGAACAGG